GAUUAACGCUAGCGGCAGGCAUAAUACAUGCAAGUUGAACGGCAGCACAGGUAGCAAUACUGGGUGGCGAGUGGCGCACGGGUGCGUAACACGUAUGCAACCUACCCUAUACAGGCGAAUAACCUUUAGAAAUGAGGGCUAAUACGCCGUAGUAUUACAGAUGGGCAUCUAUUUGUAAUUAAAGAUUUAUCGGUAUAGGAUGGGCAUGCGUCCCAUUAGUUAGUUGGUAAGGUAACGGCUUACCAAGACGAUGAUGGGUAGGGGAUCUGAGAGGACGUACCCCCACACUGGUACUGAGACACAGACCAGACUCCUACGGGAGGCAGCAGUAAGGAAUAUUGGGCAAUGGCCGCGAGGCUGACCCAGCCAUGCCGCGUGCAGGAAGACGGCCUUAUGGGUUGUAAGCUGCUUUUAUACGGGAAUAAUAGAGUGUACGCGUACAUUUAUGAAAGUAUCGGAUGAAUAAGCAUCGGCUAACUCCGUG
rnacentral:rRNA from 1 species